rnacentral:rRNA from 1 species
GAUGAACGCUGGCGGCGUGCCUAAUACAUGCAAGUCGAGCGAACGGACGAGAAGCUUGCUUCUCUGAUGUUAGCGGCGGACGGGUGAGUAACACGUGGGUAACCUACCUAUAAGACUGGGAUAACUUCGGGAAACCGGAGCUAAUACCGGAUAAUAUUUUGAACCGCAUGGUUCAAAAGUGAAAGACGGUCUUGCUGUCACUUAUAGAUGGAUCCGCGCUGCAUUAGCUAGUUGGUAAGGUAACGGCUUACCAAGGCAACGAUGCAUAGCCGACCUGAGAGGGUGAUCGGCCACACUGGAACUGAGACACGGUCCAGACUCCUACGGGAGGCAGCAGUAGGGAAUCUUCCGCAAUGGGCGAAAGCCUGACGGAGCAACGCCGCGUGAGUGAUGAAGGUCUUCGGAUCGUAAAACUCUGUUAUUAGGGAAGAACAUAUGUGUAAGUAACUGUGCACAUCUUGACGGUACCUAAUCAGAAAGCCACGGCUAACUACGUGCCAGCAGCCGCGGUAAUACGUAGGUGGCAAGCGUUAUCCGGAAUUAUUGGGCGUAAAGCGCGCGUAGGCGGUUUUUUAAGUCUGAUGUGAAAGCCCACGGCUCAACCGUGGAGGGUCAUUGGAAACUGGAAAACUUGAGUGCAGAAGAGGAAAGUGGAAUUCCAUGUGUAGCGGUGAAAUGCGCAGAGAUAUGGAGGAACACCAGUGGCGAAGGCGACUUUCUGGUCUGUAACAGACGCUGAUGUGCGAAAGCGUGGGGAUCAAACAGGAUUAGAUACCCUGGUAGUCCACGCCGUAAACGAUGAGUGCUAAGUGUUAGGGGGUUUCCGCCCCUUAGUGCUGCAGCUAACGCAUUAAGCACUCCGCCUGGGGAGUACGACCGCAAGGUUGAAACUCAAAGGAAUUGACGGGGACCCGCACAAGCGGUGGAGCAUGUGGUUUAAUUCGAAGCAACGCGAAGAACCUUACCAAAUCUUGACAUCCUUUGACAACUCUAGAGAUAGAGCCUUCCCCUUCGGGGGACAAAGUGACAGGUGGUGCAUGGUUGUCGUCAGCUCGUGUCGUGAGAUGUUGGGUUAAGUCCCGCAACGAGCGCAACCCUUAAGCUUAGUUGCCAUCAUUAAGUUGGGCACUCUAAGUUGACUGCCGGUGACAAACCGGAGGAAGGUGGGGAUGACGUCAAAUCAUCAUGCCCCUUAUGAUUUGGGCUACACACGUGCUACAAUGGACAAUACAAAGGGCAGCGAAACCGCGAGGUCAAGCAAAUCCCAUAAAGUUGUUCUCAGUUCGGAUUGUAGUCUGCAACUCGACUACAUGAAGCUGGAAUCGCUAGUAAUCGUAGAUCAGCAUGCUACGGUGAAUACGUUCCCGGGUCU